AAAACGGUAAGCUAAUGAAGCUAUUGGGUUCAUACCCCAACUAUGAGCCUACCUCCCUUUUUA
rnacentral:tRNA from 1 species